GAUGAACGCUGGCGGCGUGCCUAAUACAUGCAAGUCGAGCGAACAGACGAGGAGCUUGCUCCUCUGACGUUAGCGGCGGACGGGUGAGUAACACGUGGGUAACCUACCUAUAAGACUGGGAUAACUUCGGGAAACCGGAGCUAAUACCGGAUAAUAUAUUGAACCGCAUGGUUCAAUAGUGAAAGACGGUUUUGCUGUCACUUAUAGAUGGAUCCGCGCCGCAUUAGCUAGUUGGUAAGGUAACGGCUUACCAAGGCAACGAUGCGUAGCCGACCUGAGAGGGUGAUCGGCCACACUGGAACUGAGACACGGUCCAGUCUCCUACGGGAGGCAGCAGUAGGGAAUCUUCCGCAAUGGGCGAAAGCCUGACGGAGCAACGCCGCGUGAGUGAUGAAGGUCUUCGGAUCGUAAAACUCUGUUAUUAGGGAAGAACAAAUGUGUAAGCAACUAUGCACGUCUUGACGGUACCUAAUCAGAAAGCCACGGCUAACUACGUG
rnacentral:rRNA from 1 species